GAUGAACGCUGACAGCAUGCUUAACACAUGCAAGUCUACUUGAAUUUGGGUUUUUUCACUUAGAUUUGGGUGGCGGACGGGUGAGUAACGCGUAAAGAACUUGCCUCACAGUUAGGGACAACAUUUGGAAACGAAUGCUAAUACCUGAUAUUAUGAAUAUAUGGCAUCAUAUAAUUAUGAAAGCUAUAAGCGCUGUGAGAGAGCUUUGCGUCCCAUUAGCUAGUUGGAGAGGUAACGGCUCACCAAGGCGAUGAUGGGUAGCCGGCCUGAGAGGGUGAACGGCCACAAGGGGACUGAGACACGGCCCUUACUCCUACGGGAGGCAGCAGUGGGGAAUAUGGGACAAUGGACCAAGAGUCUGAUCCAGCAAUUCUGUGUGCACGAUGACGUUUUUCGGAAUGUAAAGUGCUUUCAGUUGGGAAGAAAAAAAUGACGGUACCAACAGAAGAAGUGACGGCUAAAUACGUG
rnacentral:rRNA from 1 species